rnacentral:rRNA from 1 species
GAUCUGACGUGCUUGCGCUGAAGUGACGAUGGAUUACCAGUGAGCGGCGGACGGGUGAGUAACACGUGGGCAACCUGCCCUGAAGCGGGGGAUAACAUUUGGAAACAGGUGCUAAUACCGCAUAACAACGAAAACCACAUGGUUUUCGUUUCAAAGAUGGUUUCGGCUAUCACUUCAGGAUGGGCCCGCGGUGCAUUAGCUUGUUGGUAGGGUAACGGCCUACCAAGGCAAUGAUGCAUAGCCGAGUUGAGAGACUGAUCGGCCACAAUGGAACUGAGACACGGUCCAUACUCCUACGGGAGGCAGCAGUAGGGAAUCUUCCACAAUGGGCGCAAGCCUGAUGGAGCGACACCGCGUGAGUGAAGAAGGGUUUCGGCUCGUAAAGCUCUGUUGUUGAAGAAGAACGUGCGUGAGAGCAACUGUUCACGCAGUGACGGUAUUCAACCAGAAAGUCACGGCUAACUACGUGCCAGCAGCCGCGGUAAUACGUAGGUGGCAAGCGUUAUCCGGAUUUAUUGGGCGUAAAGCGAGCGCAGGCGGUUGCUUAAGUCUGAUGUGAAAGCCUUCGGCUUAACCGAAGAAGUGCAUCGGAAACUGAGCGACUUGAGUGCAGAAGAGGACAGUGGAACUCCAUGUGUAGCGGUGGAAUGCGUAGAUAUAUGGAAGAACACCAGUGGCGAAGGCGGCUGUCUGGUCUGCAACUGACGCUGAGGCUCGAAAGCAUGGGUAGCGAACAGGAUUAGAUACCCUGGUA